rnacentral:rRNA from 1 species
CCCCAGUANCGGCGAGUGAAGCGGCAAAAGCUCAAAUAUGAAAUCCCGCCCCCGCGGGAGUUGUAAUUUGAAGGCCAGCGGCANCAUGUUCGGAAAACAAAGUCCAUUGGAACAUGGCGCCACGGAGGGUGACAGCCCCGUUAAAAAAACCGAAAUGCAUCUUCGCUGGCCAAAGAGUCGAGUUGUUUGGGAAUGCAGCUCUAACAGGUGGUAAAUCCCAUCUAAAGCUAAAUACCGGCGAGAGACCGAUAGNGAACAAGUACAGUGAUGGAAAGAUGAAAAGCACUUUGAAAAGAGAGUGAAACAGUACGUGAAAUUGCUUGGAGGGGAGGGCCUGCAAGCAGACACGGGAGUAAAAACCCGGGCCAGCAUCAGGUGGAGCGGCGGCAUAAGCGCUGCGGGAAUGUGGCAAAGCCAAUUGGUUUUGUGUUUAUAGCCCGCGCCUCUUCCGCCCGCGCCGCCUGAGGCCAACGAUUUCGAUCAAGGAUGCUGGCGUAAUGGUUGCAAGCCGCCCGUCUUGAAACACGGACCAAGGGCGAAUUCCACAUUGG